CAGAGGGGGCAAGCGUUAUUCGGAAUUAUUGGGCGUAAAGGGCGCGUAGGCGGCUUUUCAAGUGACGGGUGAAAUCCCUCGGCUUAACCGAGGAACUGCCUGUCAGACUGGAAGGCUUGAGACCGGGAGAGGUGAGUGGAAUUCCCAGUGUAGCGGUGAAGUGCGUAGAUAUUGGGAGGAACACCAGUGGCGAAGGCGGCUCACUGGACCGGAACUGACGCUGAGGCGCGAAAGCGUGGGGAGCAAACAGGAUUAGAUACCCUGGUAGUCCACGCCGUAAACGAUGAGUGCUUGGUGUAGCGGGUAUCGACCCCUGCUGUGCCGAAGUCAACACAUUAAGCACUCCGCCUGGGGAGUACGGUCGCAAGACUG
rnacentral:rRNA from 1 species